rnacentral:tRNA from 1 species
GCUUCCGUAGCUCAGCGGUUUAGAGCAGCUGAUUCUUAAUCAGCGGGUCGAAGGUUCAAAUCCUUCCGGGGGCA